UACGUAGGGGGCUAGCGUUGUCCGGAUUUAUUGGGCGUAAAGAGCGUGUAGGCGGUUAGGUAGGUCCGUUGUGAAAACUCGAGGCUCAACCUCGAGACGCCGAUGGAAACCAUCUGACUAGAGUCCGGAAGAGGAGAGUGGAAUUCCUGGUGUAGCGGUGAAAUGCGCAGAUAUCAGGAAGAACACCCGUGGCUAAGGCGGCUCUCUAGUACGUGACUGACGCUGAGACGCGAAAGCGUGGGGAGCGAACAGG
rnacentral:rRNA from 1 species